GGCCAAGCAAGACAUCCAACAGAUGGCAACCCACCAAAGAGAUGCCAGGAACACAGCAUGUGCAAUCCAAGCUGCUGCCCCCAAACCUCUGGACUGGCAAAAAAAUCUCAUGGUGGAGCAGGGAUCCCAAAGUUCAAGAAGUGAUUCUGGACAGCUGCCUCAAUUGCUGCAAUACUGUGCAAAACU